GAUAGCUCAGUGGAUUAGAGUGUGGCAUUGUUAACGCCAAGGUUGCAGGUUCGAGUCCCAUAUGGGACAGCAGCA